UAGGGCUACCAUAAUCUAGAAGGCCUGCAUAUAUACAUAUAUAACAUAACAGCAUCAAGAUGACAGGCUUUGAAAAAACAAUUUAUAAAUUAAAUAAUAAAAGUCUUAGGAGGAACAGAAAUGUUUGUUGAUAAUAGUUAUAAAUCUACACAGGUUUCUAAGGGUGCCUAUAGUUUUAUAAUUAAAAAGCUACUUAAGAUUUCGUUUACAUUUGGUCAUGUAAAAUAAUAUUUGUGAAUAUAUGUACAUCUAUCUUCUGUAAAUUGUUUACAUAUGAAUAAGUAGUGAAAUUCCUCACCAACGUCGUCAGUAGUACGAAAGAUACAUUUCCUGUUUUCAUAUAAAAUAUUGGUCCAUCGUCCUGUUCCGAUAGGUAAAAAUUGGUUAGCUAUACGAAAUCAAAGAAAUGUAUUACACAUGUUAAACCUUUAUUGGAUUUUGAAAUGCCUCUUUGCCAAUUCUGUAA